UAAAAUAUACAUCCCUUGAAUGAGAUAAAUGUAACAAACAAAUGUUAUUUGUUGAUUUCCUGGCCAUUGUUAGUGAACACUGUUUGUCAAGGCUUGCCAUGUAACUAUUAACAUGUAAUAUUUUUACUUCAGAAUAUCAGAAUUCAGAGAUCUGUUGGCCGGGCAAGGGAAGGAACAACAUUCCCUCUCAGCCUGAAGCUGAAAGUGAACUUUUCUGCUGAGGAAGUUAUCCCAACACUAGAUAACUCUGUGCCAGUACAUGAUGCUGAAAUUUUGGAAGAUGGCGCAACAUCCUUACCCAUAGCUGGUUCUUUCUGUGCUACCAUCUGGGUCUUUACCACCAUCAGCGGGCUGAUAACCAUUCAGGCAGAUGGUACAAUUUAUGGAGUCAACAACACAUUUACUCUAAUGCUGUUUGGCUAUGAGAAAAAGGAACUUCUAGGGAAGAACAUCACAUUCCUGAUUCCUGGCUUUUACAAGUACAUGGAUAGAAUUAAUGCCUCCUCCGUAGAACUUCCACAGUCUAGAGGAAGUUAUAACGUAGCUGAAGAAAAUGUGAUCUCCGGUGUCUUUAAAGGAACCCAGGUGGAUGGCUGUGGUACAGUGGGAAAUAAUGAAGGUACCAGACCAUUACUUACUGGAGCUGUGGAGCUGCAAAAACAACAGGAAUUGUCAAAGCAUAAUGGAGCAGAGCUUUGUAUUAGACAGGAAACGCAGUUGGAAAGUGGUGGAAGUUUGCCCUCUUUUCUGUUACCUCCUCCAGAAGCAUCCAUAUCACUAACUGGAGACUAUAUACCCAGCAGCCAUAUCCCAGUCCCUGAUGAAGUCCUGCUUUCUGAGAGUCUGCAUGAUGGAAGCUGCACUGAGACACAGAUGACAAACUCUGCAGACUCUCAGCAAUAUGAAGCACAUUCUCAAAAACAGUUUUGUUCUGAACCUUAUGUUUUAGAAGGUAGGACUAAACUGCAAGACAGGAAUCUUUCCCUGUGCACUUUUGACCUAGUUCAGGAAGAAGAUGACUCUUUGGAUAUCUGCAGUUCUGGAAUGAUAAAGUGCCAGUCUCUCACUACCACAAAGAUUUCUGGAGCAGAAUGCCAUACUCAAAAGAAAACCAAGCUGGAAUCAAGGAGUAACCUAUCCUCUCUUGUGCCAUCUGCCCUAGAUGCAUCUACACCAUUGAAUGGGUAGGUAGAAGGUUUGAAUUAUGUGAGG
rnacentral:lncRNA from 1 species